CGAAAGCCCAGUUGGUAGGGCAUCCGCCUGGUAUGCGGGGGGUAGCCGGUUCGAUUGUGUCCUUCGG
rnacentral:tRNA from 1 species